rnacentral:sRNA from 1 species
GCUGUGUGCUGUGGUGCACACCUGUAAUCUCAGCUCCUUGGGAGGCUGAGGCAGGAGGAUCUCAGGUUCAAAGCCAGCCUUAGUAACUUAGCAAGGCUCUAAGCAACUUAGUAAGACCCUGUCUCUA